AUUUUAAUAUAGCUUGUAAUUGUUUGCAGGUCUAUUCAACUUCAGUUGCAAUGCUACUGACUGCAGUUGUUUCUGUAUUUCUAUUUGGAUUUCACCUUUCCCUUGCCUUUUUCCUUGGUUCCACCGUUGUUUCAGUAGCAAUAUAUUUGCACUCGACUAGCAAAGCCCGAAGAUAACAAUUGAGUUCAUCUUCUGGGUGUUCUUUCUUGCCAAAAUUGUAAGCGCAUAACUAUUUAUCCUACAACAGCUUAAGAGUUGGCCCUGGAUUUAUCCUUGGAAUGGAGUCGGCAUUUGAAUUUGGAUACUUUUGAUCAAGUACUAAAAUCCUGCGUAUGGGCACUUGCAAGGUGUUGUUUCAAUCUUGAAUUCAAAUAGCAGUGCUUAUUGCCCCAGGAAAGGGAUUCGAUAUGUGCUGAAGAUGUUAUUAGUGCAAGAAGUCCUGGACAGUCCACUUUGUAACACGAUACAUUUGACGCGAUGCAUAAUUUCAUGAACAUUUUUUUGCUCUUUCAAAUGUAAUUAUGGACUAGUUGGUAUUGUAAUAGCAAUUUGGGCAAUAAUGUGUUUGUACAAUGUCCGUUGAUGUUAAUACUUGUUUUGGUGUUAAUUUA